UAACUAAAUUAAGGAUGAGUAAUUUUACAGAUGGGGAAAUAAAGGGGCUUACCAUACACUAAACUUACUGGAAAAAAAAUUAAACCUAAUCGAGAAAUUAAUCAUAUUUAUCAGAAUCUCUUCAUCAAAUUUACACCCUUGCUGCUUAUUGCUUUCCAAAUGUGAAUUUUAGAUGGAUUUACCAAAAAACACAAAAUUUUCUUUCAUGUAAUUGUGACAUUAAAUAAUGGCUUGUAAAGAGGAAAAGCAAUAUGUAAUCACAGAUAUUACUUUGUAUGUUAUUUCACCGAAAAAUUAACAAUGAAUAAUGACAACUCGGAUUGUCGUAAAACUCGGCGAUCCUAGUUGUCGGCCCAUCACACUUUUUUUUUUUUUAAUUUCUUUUUGAAAAAUAUUUUUAAAAUUUUAAUUUAGUCUAUUUUUUCUCCGUCUUCUUCCCCUGGCUCCUGAUACUUAGGGUUUCUUUCAACUUCUUCAGAUCGAUCAUAGCAGACUCGGGUUGAUGGAGAGAUUCAAUUAAUGAGAAUUUAAACAAUGUAUUCAACUCCUCAUCCUCCUAACCUCUCCAACUCUAAUCACCAAAUCUUCGACAAUAAUGCCCCAACUCCUCGCCUCCAUCAAGUCUGGAAACGAAGAAAUAGAAAAGAAAACAAGAGACCCAAUUGUGUUUACAUCCUUUAUUUAAUCCCCAGCCAAGAUUGGUGGCAGAGCUUCUCAUUGACCAGUGGCCUUACCUUUAAGUCUUUGAGUUCCUGUUUGACUUUUCUCUUAAUUUCUUGUUCAGUUCCUAAUUUCUCUUUUUUCUUUUCGGUCUAGUUUCAUUCUUGAUCUCCAACACCUAAACCUACCUCAAAACGUAAUCUUUAAGUUUAGCUCACUCAAUCCUACCACAAACCUCAUUAAUUGGUACUAGAUCUUAAGUUGUUUGAGUGAGCUUAUUUUUGCCAUCUGUUUCGCUAUUUCUAAAGUACCAACCAUGUCUAAUCGAAGUGUUUCUUCCUUACCUUCACCACUGGAAAUAACAAUUAGGAGGAUGGAUGUAGAGAUAGCCAAAUUGAGAGAGCAACUAAACUAGGUUCUUCAACUCCUAAGAGCAGCAAACCGACCCCACUAAGAACUCCCAUAUCACUAUCAUCCUUAACCUUAAGGACUAGCCAUGAAUGAAGAUGAAGUUGCAAUCGACAGUGAUUAUUGCGUCUUGAGGGUAUGGAGAAUGAGGAAGAAAGUAUAGGAUGACCAUGGCCUAUGCAUAGACCUCAAAGAAUUUGAUGGGAAUUUCAACCCUGAUGAAUUCAUUGAUUGGCUAAAUGCUAUCAUAAGGGCUUUUGAAUGCAAGAAGUACUAUGAUGAGAGGAAGUGCAAGGUGGUUGUCCUUAAGUUCAAGGAUUAUCCAUCUAUAUGGUGGGAGAACAUAAAUAAAAUAAUAGGAAUUAAACAAGGAAACUAAAAGAUGAGCUAAGUAAGAACUUUGCCAUCGGUUAAGAAGGAACUUAAUAGACCCCCAAUUAUCAAGACCUAUCAAAGAAGGGGUAAAAGGGGAAAUCCCAUAUCACCAACUGUGAUAACAACAAUGAAAGAUAAACACUAUCAAGAUAAGUCCAUGAAGUAGGGUGAACACUUCAAGAGUCUUAGGAUAAGGAUAAAUUAAAACAGGGAGAUAAUAAUAACCCAAAGAAAGAAGAUGAAACUCAUCCUACAGCCUAUUCAAUUAUAAAAAAGAGGCAGAGCAAUGCAGAAGAAUCAAUAAGGAAAUACACAGGUUAUUAGGUGGGAUUUGGGGCUUAGGCUUGAGGACCUUUGGAUGCUGUGCAUGGCAGCUCCGGGUUAUUGGUUUAUUCUUUAGCUAUUCAAUAAAACAAGUGUGCUCUGGACACUUUCUGCAAUCAACAAAUUAGUAGUUAUUCAUUUCAUUCCAUUCAAUUCAUUACAUCCCAAUUAUUCUCAAUUCCAUUAUAAUUACAUAUACAAUACAAAUACAUUCAUAAUUGUAGCACAGGUGAAGCAGAAGUGAGGGUAGAUUCAAAGCAACUCCUGUAGAGACACCAUCAUAGGUCAGGUACCCAUUAAAGUGGUAUCAGAGCGAGAAAGUAAAUGGUUAGUACAAGGGUGGAAUCAAAAGUUAACCUAUUGGAGAAAGAAGUCGCGGACAAGUUCAAUGGCUUGGCAAUAGAAAUGGGAGCUAUUAGAGAAGAAUUAAAGGGCAUCCAAAUUGAGCUGAAGGAGGCGCGAUCUAUGAGAAAGGAUGUGACAGAAAUCAAGGCAAUAUUAGCAGUGGUUUGUCAAAAAGAAAUUAAGGGCAAAGUCAUUGCCGAUCAGUUAAAAGUCCAAGAGGAUAGUGGAAACUCGAGAAGCAACAAAUUAUCAGAUGAGGAAAAGAACGAUAGUAGAAAGAAACAUUAACCAAUGCACCUGGAAGGAGGAAAAGUCAUAGGCAGAGGUUAUGAUGUCUAUCCACGCCGAAUUGAGAUACCAAUGUUUGGCGGCGAAGAUCCGAUUGGAUGGAUUUUUAGGGCAGACAAAUACUUCUUCGUCAAUUGCUUCAGAGCAGAAGACAAAGUCCAAGCAGUUGGCGUGUGUAUGGAAGGACUGACAUUGACAUGGCUUCAAUGGGAGGAGGCAAGGGGAUUGUUCGGUAGUUGGGAGGAGUUUAAAGAAACACUGAUUGAAAGGUUCCAACUGACUCGGGAAGGCACGACAUAUAAAGAACUUCUUUCUCUCCGGUAGCAUGGUUCCGUCGGCGACUAUAGAUUCAACUUUGAAAAAUUGUCAGCCUCAAUAGAAGGAGGCGCCUUUGUUGAUGGGCUAAAAGAUGAGAUUUGAGCCGAGAUACGAGUCAUGGAAGCUUAACAUUCUGAGACCCUUCAAAGGUAGGAUCAGAUAAUACAAGAACAACAACACCUUAGUCAGGAGUCUGAUCGGCUUCAAUAAGAGUUUCGAGACUAAAUGGCAAAAUAUCAUUGAUCGUGCACGUCAUUCUCACAUUGCAUUUCAUCUUUUUUGACAUUAGCACAUGUUUUCUUUCUUUUUGGAACUUUUAGGUGCUUUAUUAUAUUGUUUUUUUAUGUUUAUUUGGUUAACUUUUUUUAGUUAACUUAGUUCGUUUCAAACUUUGG